rnacentral:misc_RNA from 1 species
GAUUCUCCACAAUUACGGUAACGUCGAGAGCCUCGCUGAGCUUGGGUGCGACGGCACGAGCGAGCACAUCGGUCGGCCCGCCCGCCGGGAACGGUAUCAGCCACGUGAUCGGCUUUGACGGAUAAGCUUGCGCCGACACAAGCGACUAACGCCCAGAGAUUCCAAGCCGCGCAGCGCUUCGCCGAAGGGCGUGUCGGCUUACGGCAAGAGCCUUUGCCAUGUCCCGCUCGUUGGGCAGGCGGUCGCCCAUUCCCAGGACGCCCGAGCGGGCCUCGUCGCGGAUCUGAUCCGAGAUCACCUCGAACGUGUGGUGGGUUUUGAUUGGUCGGAUCGACAUCUGGCCUGCUCAAUUGAUUA